rnacentral:rRNA from 1 species
AUACGGAGGGUGCAAGCGUUACUCGGAAUCACUGGGCGUAAAGCGCGCGCAGGCGGGCUGAUAAGUUGGAUGUGAAAGCCUACGGCUCAACCGUAGAACUGCAUCCAAAACUGUCAGUCUAGAGUCUGGGAGGGGAAGAUGGAAUUAGUUGUGUAGGGGUAAAAUCCGUAGAGAUAACUAGGAAUACCAAAAGCGAAGGCGAUCUUCUGGAACAGUACUGACGCUGCGGCGCGAAAGCGUGGGGAGCAAACAGGAUUAGAUACCCCAGUAGUCC